rnacentral:rRNA from 1 species
CUACGGGUUGCAGCAGUGGGGAAUAUUGCACAAUGGGGGGAACCCUGAUGCAGCAACGCCGCGUGGAGGAUGACACAUUUCGGUGCGUAAACUCCUUUUAUAUAAGAAGAUAAUGACGGUAUUAUAUGAAUAAGCACCGGCUAACUCCUUGCCAGCAGCCGCGGUAAUACGGGGGGUGCAAGCGUUACUCGGAAUCACUGGGCGUAAAGAGCAUGUAGGCGGGUAGAAAAGUUGGAAGUGAAAUCCUAUGGCUUAACCAUAGAACUGCUUCCAAAACUCUUUACCUAGAAUAUGGGAGAGGUAGAUGGAAUUUCUGGUGUAGGGGUAAAAUCCGUAGAGAUCAGAAGGAAUACCGAUUGCGAAGGCGAUCUACUGGAACAUUAUUGACGCUCAGAUGCGAAAGCGUGGGGAGCAAACAGGAUUAGAUACCCCCGUAGUC